CCUUCAAGUAGAAUUGUGCUAAAAUUAGCAAAGAUAAAAAACAAUUUUUCUAACUAUUUUUUUUAAAGAAAUAACCAAAACCCACAACAGGGUUAUUCACUGAAUUUAGAACUGGAACAAACUGAAAUCCAUAGUACAAAAAUAAGUUGUGACUAUAGUUGAGAUGGACAAUGUUUCCAGGUAAGCUAUUUUGCCCAAAGUUUAGAAUUCAGAUUUCUGUUCAAUGCCGUUCGGAAUUAAGUAAAAUAACCGUACCAACUGUAAUGAAUUGAAGUCCAAAAUGGGAUAUUUAGGCAACUAAAGCGAAUUCGGGUCAGCUAUAGUCCCAGCCUGGGGAUUUUACUGUUAAAUUUAGCAAUUCAGUUUCAAUUCACAAAAUUUCCAGUUUAGUGAAUAAUCCCUUCAGAUAGUAAAUAAUAAACUGGUGUAAUCAUCACGAUGGGUUAGUGUUACAGAAAUGUUUUACUUGAAAAGAAGCUGCUGUCCAACUCCUCUCUCUUCCUCAAUUUCACUUCUAUAUUUUGUGGCCAUAAUGUCUUAUUUUUACUGGGUUCUGUAGUGCUCAAGUUCCAGUGAUUGGAAGUAGUCUUGGUACCUGGAGUUAUGAAACACUGCACAUACAGAGAUUAACCCCACUGCUCCUCUGGCCAGAUCAUGGGGCAUCAUCGGCCAGCUAGGAAACAAAGUGCACCCGCCUCGCAAUGCUUUUCUAUGGGAAAGCACUGGAUUGGCUGAGAUCAAUCUUGAUGAUCUGCAGGGGCUGUUCAGCUUGGCUCCUGACUGCCUCGGGCCCUCGGUCAGGGCCGGAUUAAGAGCAUACUGGGCCUGGUGCUGACAAAUAUGAUGGGCCUAAUUACGGAAUCUUCUCGACCAAAAACACUAAAACAGUCAUACCUCCCAAGCGUCAUGUAUCUGAUGGAGAUGGUGUUAGAAGGAAAAUCAAAGGAUGCAGCUAUAUGAAAACACAUACUCUAUGCUAAUCUCUCUCUAAUUUAUGUUUUCAUCUUUCAAGUAAAUCCAUAACCCCUAACAGCAGUGUCCAGUGAAAUAGGAAGUCAAUGGGCGAGGUAAAAGGGUGUGCCACUGGUGCAAAUCACGUGACCAGACCUGCCAAAAGGGGUGAAC